AUACAGGGUGACAGCCCCGUACACAAAAGCGCAUGUGCUGUGAGCUCGAUGAGUAGGGCGGGACACGUGGUAUCCUGUCUGAAUAUGGGGGGACCAUCCUCCAAGGCUAAAUACUCCUGACUGACCGAUAGUGAACCAGUACCGUGAGGGAAAGGCGAAAAGAACCCCGGCGAGGGGAGUGAAAAAGAACCUGAAACCGUGUACGUACAAGCAGUGGGAGCCCCACCACCAAAGCAUUCUCUGGUGUUGAAGGCCCUGCAAAGCAGCAUCGCGGUGGCGGAGCGUCGUUUGCGACGCCCAACACACAAAACAAGCGGUGAGUGCUUUGGGGUGGGGUGACUGCGUACCUUUUGUAUAAUGGGUCAGCGACUUAUAUUCUGUAGCAAGGUUAACCGAAUAGGGGAGCCGGAGGGAAACCGAGUCUUAAUUGGGCGUUAAGUUGCAGGGUAUAGACCCGAAACCCGGUGAUCUAGCCAUGGGCAGGUUGAAGGUUGGGUAACACUAACUGGAGGACCGAACCGACUAAUGUUGAAAAAUUAGCGGAUGACCUGUGGCUGGGGGUGAAAGGCCAAUCAAACCGGGAGAUAGCUGGUUCUCCCCGAAAGCUAUUUAGGUAGCGCCUCGUGAAUUCAUCUCCGGGGGUAGAGCACUGUUUCGGCUAGGGGGCCAUCCCGGCUU
rnacentral:rRNA from 1 species